UUAACUAAACAUUGAUUAGACCAUAAUAAAACUAUAGAACCAUAAAGUGCUAAUUAAACAUAAGAUGAAGAUAAAAAAGACAGACAAACACACACACCACAAGCUAAUACUUGCAAACAUAAUUAAAACCAUAAUUAAACAUAAGAUAAAGAAAAAGAAAAAGAAAAAGAAAAAACAUACGAACACACUAAUACUUGCAAACAUAAAACUAUAGUUAAAUAUACGAUGAAACCCUCAUGGUCGAUCACUUCCACUAGUCGAUGGCCAUGACUCGCCUCGUGAGCACUCGCCGCCACUGUCUCCCAAAGGUAGGAUGCCUUGGUGCCAUCCGGUUCGAGUAAAUCCAAGAUCUUGUUGAAGUGAUGGAUGAUCGUUUAUGACGGUAAAAUUAUAAUUUUCCGAUCUAUACGUUGAUGUUCUCCACCGCUUCAUCAUGAGUGAGGAAGCGUCUCAAACUGUCAAGAUAAGCAUUUAAGAUCAGUGGGGGUAUUCUGGGCAUACCACUGCGCCCUCCAUUGUUCGCCGAGUGGAUGAGUGAAGUUACGGAGGUUCGAAUGUCCUCACUAACUCGUUGGGAUCUUGGUUUCUUUUAGAAAGAGAUUUGGCUCCGAAUGGAGGAAGCGGUUCAAGUGGAGCGGAUCAAGUGGUUCAAGCAGAUCAAACAGAACAAGUGUGGAUCAAGCGGAUCUGGUGGUACAAGAGCGGAUCAAGUGGUUCAAGUGGAUCAAGCAGAACAAGUGUAGAUCAAGCGGAUCUGGUGGUACAAGAGCGGAUCAAGCGGUUCUGGUGUUCCAAAACCUGUAUUUGAUUGGUGAAAGCGGAUCAAAUAGUGCGGAUCAAAAUUUUAUAUAGUAAUAAAGUCAAUUUUAAAUUAAAUAUUUUUAUAGAAUACUAUACAUAUUAAAUUAAAUUAUAUUAGAUUAAAAGUUUUUAGUAGUUUAGCAUAUUUUAGAACAACUAUUUUUUCUAAUACAAUGUAUAAAUAUUUAUAUUACAUUUUUGAACAUGUAUCCAAUUUUCUUAUUAUAUAAUAUUAUUUACUAUUUUAGAUAUAAUAUAAUACAUCAAAUGUUAAGUACAACAAAUAACUAUAUUUUAAAUAAUCAUACAAUAUUUGGAAAUAUAUAUAUAUAUACUACAAGAAAACCUGUAUUUUGCAACUAACUUUGCGACCAAUUUGCGAUUAUUUCCAGACUAAUUUGCGUUAAUGACGAAAUAAAACACAUAUAAAAAAUAAUUGCAAUUCAGCGAUUAAACCUAACAGUCGGUAAUUCGUCGUCCUUUAGCGACGGUUGUGCGACCGAUGACAGACUAAUAUGUUUUAGUCGCAAAUGAGUCGCAGGUUUGCGAUUGAUGUGCCACUCGGUAUUUGGUCAGAAAUGAUGGUCGCAAUUUAGUCUCAAAAGAGCGACGAUUUAACAACCACCUGUUAUAGGUACGCUUUAGUUGCAAAUUAGUUGGAAAAUUUUGGUACAAAACACGUUGAAAUUGCAGAGGAGGUAGGUGUACUGAACUUUUGUGACUAUGUGAAAACGGACGCAAAAUAGUCACAAAUUUAAGCCUAUAUAUACCACCCCUCAUUCAUUUCAUUUCUCCUUCCCACUCUUCCAUUCUCCCAUUUGUAAGUAAAAAAAAAAAACAAAGAGAAAGAAGAAGAGAAAAUAAAAUAAAAAAAAAGAAAAAGAGAAGAAAAACAAAGGGAAAAAAAGAAAAAAAAAAAACGAUGUGGAAUAAUCUGUCACGAGAAUGGAUGUACAACCGAAUCGAUCCAUACACAAAUCACAUUGCGGCGGACUAUUUGGCGGGUGUGGAAGCGUUCAUCAGUUAUGCAAGCCAUGUUGAAGACAGAAAAGGUCGGUUUUUAUUAUGUCCUUGUGUAAUAUGUCAAAAUUCGAAACCCGUGAAAGCUGUUACGGUAUCAAGUCAUUAGCUUAGUAGAGGAUUUAUGCCGAAUUACUAUGUAUGGUAUAAGCAUGGGGAGGAUUAUAAUGUUGUUGGGAAGGGUACUAGUAACUAUGUUGAUAAUACCAAAUAUACUAGUACUGUUAAUGAACCAAUAGGCUUUGAUGGGAAAAAUGUAUUUGCUGGGAUGGUUAAUGAUGCUUUUCAUGGUUCUGUACCAUAUAACGAGUAUCAUGAACAUGAAAGUGGAAACGAUCAUGUUCAUGAAGAACCCACCCAAGAUGCAAAACAAUUUUAUGACAUGCUAGCUGCCGCAAACACUCCACUUUACGAUGGAUUUAGGAAGGUCAAUCGCAAUUAUCGUUGGCAGCUCGGUUCAUGAACAAUAAGGUGGACCACAAUUUGUCAGAAACUAGCAUGGACGGAUGAGCAGAAUUGUUUACAGAAUAUUUACUAGAAGGUAAUCAGGCGACCGAUUCCUACUACAAGACAUAGACUUUGAUGCGAAAGCUAGGAUUGCCGUACUAUACAUAUGAUGUAUGUAUAGAUAAUUGUAUGUUUUUUUGAAAAUAUGAUGAGAAGUUGGGGAAUUCCAAGUUCUGCGGAAAACCAUGAAAAAAGGAGAGUGAAGGAAGAACAAGAAUACCAUUUAGUAAGAUGUGGUAUUUAUCGACUGGGGACAGAUUGAAGAGAAUGUACCAAUCUGGGAAGAAUGCAGCUUCGAUAAGAUGGCAUGCUGAGCACGAAUCGGAAGAAGGAUUAAUGUGUCAUCCAUCAGAUGCGGCUGGGUGGAAGAAUUUCCAGCAACUGCAUCCUUCAUUUGCCGAAGAACCGCGAAACGUUUAUCUUGGAUUAUGUACUGACGGUUUCAAUCCGUUUGGUAUGUCCAAAAAUCAUUCGUUGUGGCCAGUGAUCUUGACGCCAUACAACUUGCCUCCGGAUAUGUGCAUUAAAAGUGAGUAUUUGUUUUUGACGAUUUUGAAUUCGGGACCAAAUCAUCCACGAGCCAGUCUUGAUGUUUUCCUUUAACCACAAAUCGACGAGUUACAAGAGUUGUGGCAUAAUGGAGUUGAGGCAUAUGAUGUGUCCUUAGAUCAAAACUUCAACCUUAAAGCGGUUCUUUUGUGGACUAUUAGCGAUUUCCCAGCAUAGGGCAUGUUGUCGGGAUGGACUACUCAAAGUCGAUUAUCGUGUCCAAUUUGUAUGGAGGAUAGAAAUGCAUUUUGGUUGCCAGGUGGUAGGAAGACUUGUUGGUUUGAUUGCCAUAGAAGAUUUCUUCUUGUAAAUCAUUUGUUACGGAACGAUAAAACGCACUUUCUAAAGGGUAAGGGAGUGAAGGACUACCCACCGCAAUCUUUGACUGGUGAACAAGUAUUAUAUGAGCGUAUAAGGUCUGCCGAGCCACCUAUGACAUCUAAUUGCGGAGGAAAUGAGCAUGAAAAAAAGUGGAUGGCUAUGGACAAUGGCAUAAUUGGCACAAAGAAAGCAUUCUUUGGCAACUUGAUGUGUGUCAGGUUUUAAUCCUAAAGAACACAACGAUAAAGCUGCAAGUGCACAACAAAUCAAUUGUAGUACUUAAGGUAUCGAUCCCACAUAGACUAAUAAGUUACAGGACGAGUUUUAUGAAGAAGGAAUAUGUCUAAGACAAAUCAAAAGAGGGGUUUGGUUUUGGGUUUUGUAACUAAAGUAAACUAAAAAUAAAUGCAAUGUAAACGAUUAAGAGAUAUCAAUAAAACGAAUAUCGGGCUGCAGGGAAUUCUUAGGGUAUCAUGGAUUGAAUCAUGUUAGGAAAUCAAACGAGGAAUUUCGGUUAUUUAUGUUCAGGAACUAGAAUUUUGAUUAAGAGAUUGGUCUACUCCCAUAGCACCAAUAACUAUGUCUAAACACCCUAAAUUACUCUAUUUCCGCAGGUAAUCAAGAUGCUAAACAUGCAUAAACAAUCCAAAUUCAAUAUGUUCACAAAGCUUUAUAACUCAACUUUCGGUUGGUUAUAACGCUUUGCUGAUCUAAAUUACUUUAGGCGAUCUAAAUCUAUCCUAAUUGCAGUAGCUAGACGGUCAAUCAAGCAGUAAGCAUCAAAGUAAACAUAGAGUGGUAAAUAAUAAACUAGAAAACCUAUAUCUAAUCACCCUAAAUAACGAUCCAUGAAUCCCCUUUCGAAAACCCUUAAACCCAACGAGAGAACUACUCACACAUACUCAUAGAAAGCAAAACCAUAUGAAUAAGAGAUUGCAUAAAAGAGUAUGAAUAUGAAAAGGGUUUAGAGAUCUUCUCUGGAAUACAAAGUAGAUGAAUAGAGAGAAAAGAAGAAGAGAAAGUGUUGUGGUGGUUGGCGGCUUCACCGGCGGCAAUCGGUGAGGAACGACGGUGAGGGAGCUUUGGAGGCUUCUCUGUUCGUCUCUAGGAGGCUGCUGAUGAUGGAGGUCGAAGACACCCUAGGUUUAGGGUUUACAACUUGUAUUUAUAGGCCUCGGGAAGUAACAAGUCGGUUUAGGGUUUUCUCGGCAAAACUACGUAGUUUUAAUAAGUGCAGAGACAAGACGGCUUAGACAGGUCACGAGGCUCCAUGACCGGGCUCACCAAGAAGAUCCACACCGGUCACGUUGGGUUGUGACCGGUGCACCCAAGAGCUUCACCACCGGUCGCACGCCUUGCGACCGAUCUCUGACAGGUUGACUUCUGUUUGGCAGCUGGGAUUGAGUUGAUUCUUCCUCCAUUGUAAUCUUGACUCUUCCAGCUUUCCAUAGAGUCCAAGAUAUCCGAAUUUUCUUCACGGAAAGGCCUCCAACGGAUGCCUAAAUUCUGGAGCUUCGAAUCUAUCCUAAAACGGGUUUUGCUCGUCUUUUGGUCCAUUUUGCUUAGAAACUCUUAAACCUUCUUGACUCCAUAAAAUACUUGAAUAUCUCCUCUUUAGCCUUGAAAUCACACCAAACACUUCCUAAAACAGCAUAAAACAUUAAGAAAUAUGGGCGAAAAUCCCAUGUUAUCAACUUCCACAGACUUAGACUUUGCUUGUCCUCAAGCAAACAAGAAAGCAAAUCCGGUGGAGAGGUUUAGAAAUCUCGGGAACUCUCCUAUGAACAGAGACCAUGUUCCAAAAGAUAACCUGCAGACUUGUAAAUACAAAGACAUCGCGUUAGAACAUUCUCACUAUAGACUCACCACAUUCACAAUCCUGGUCCAUCCAUCUCAAACCUACAAGAAAACUCUAAAAUCACGUUAGUUAACUCUCUACAUUCAUUAAUAAGGUGGCGUAGACUUUCUCAAUAGGAGGCAUCAUUCAGGGUAGACGGCGCUUGGUAUGAAAGGGGCUUUUUGGUGUUUGGUGGUGGAGUUAAAGUGUUUAGGGUUACCGUAUAAUCUCGAGAAUGUAGGAUAUGUUGCAAAACCGCAAGAGAGAACGGAUCUGUUGAGGUCCACAGUUUGCAACCACUUUUUCUUGUAAACACCUCAUCUCCUUACUUCUUUUCGUCUUUUCGAUUCCCCCAGACUUAGGCUUUUCGUGGGGAUCUCUUUGAAUGAUUACAUCUCUCAUCUAAGUGAUCCAUGUCUUUCCUUGGGAUUCCUCUGUACUUAUGAGACUUCUUAUUUCGUAACCACUUCCUUUCCUUUAGUUUUUUUUUUUUUUUUUUUUUUUGGAAAGGGGAAACGGUACUCAUUAUAUACACGAGUCUCAUAAGUACGAAAUAAGUACCUUUUGAAAUCGAAUCCCAAGGAAGAAUAAGCUCUAGACCAAAUCAUCGCAUCCUCCCUGUAGCUUCCGAAUCUCCGUCUUCGUGGCAGGAAACUCUGUCGUUCCUUUCUCUCCGACGUUUUUGCACAUAGCUGCUAAUUUGAGAAAAGGAAAAAGAGAAUGCAUGAGGUCUGAAAAGAGGAUAGGGUUUAAGGGUAGGAACCACUAAAAGUGAGUGGCCAUUCAGGAUCAGCAGAGAGUGGUAAAAAGGGAUAAGAAGUCCUGAAUGUAUAUGCUCGUUUCCCCGAUCUAACACCUCUUCAUGAGAAAGAAUUAUGUUCAGGUUAGAUAGUCCAAAUAUAAUAGAGUUAACUUCAGAUCAAACAAAGUCUCCCCGGUAGAGACUUCAGGGGGAAAGAUCCCGUUGAGAGUUUCUAGGUAUUGUCUGUUCUUAGCGAGUCCUGCAAAACUUGUCACUUAGGAAAUGAGUUAGAACAUAUGAACGGUUGGUUUCAUCAUAUGAUAAGGUCAUCAUUCUACUGGUUUUGACUCAAUAAAACUUUGACUCGAUAAAACAUCUUAAUUACCUAAAAUUUCUUGAUGUAAAAAUGGAAAAAGUUCUCAAGUCAACAAAUAAAGAGUAGCAUUAGUACGAAUCCCCCCAGACUUAAAUCACACCGUCCUCGGUGGGAAAAUAGUAUGGGAAGAGUAAGAAAAAGAAAGAUAGGGUUAAGAACAAUGUCACCUUGGUGUGGCGACUAACCGUAUAUUCUUCUUCAGUACUUACUUGUAAUCGAUUUAACUUGGGUAAGUUAAUCGAGAUCGGCAAUAUAAAUCUUUAGAUGCAUCUUUCCUGAUACGGAAACCUAAACCAUCAAUAGUUUUAUGAAAUUAGACAAAAAUAAAAACUUACCUUGGAUAGGCCGUAAGGCCAAUU
rnacentral:lncRNA from 1 species